CUGAGCAACGUUUUCAUUUUUUUUCUUUAACAGCGACAACAUUCUGCAGUCCGUCAAAGCAGAAAUUAUUCUUACAGGUUCUGAGAUUAAGGACCUGGAAAAGAAGUUGCAGACUGGUGACAUUCUGUCAAACAGAAUGUACCUGUGGAAACACAAAGGCUUUGAUCCAGACCUUAGAAGGUUAUACAGUGAGCAUGUCACCACUUUUGAUGACAUGAUGACAGAGGUUCUCAUCACACGGCUUGAAAACAUUCUGUAUGUCCCUGGCAGUGGAGAUGUUGACCAACACAUGGUCACAGAGGUGAUUCUGCCUGAGAUUGUCAUCCAGUGGCUGCAAAAUAACAACCUUUGCCGCUACCAACCAGAGAUGAUGUUCAUAAAUACCGUGAAGAAAAAUGAGGGACUUUCGGAAGCCUAGGAAGAAGAAGACACAGAAAAGGGAAGCCCAUUCAUUGUCGAUAGUCAGGCUGCAGCUGACUGGUGCAGAGAACAACAAUUUAGUGGAAGAAUAACACUUCCUGUUGUUCUGGAUAUGGACGAGCUAGAACAAGCAGAAGCUCUUGAAGCCCUCAAGACAUGGGAUGAAGAGUAUAAUGAAUAUUCUCCAGCGGAGCAUUUUACUUUUGUUUUUGAAAAGAAGGAGGACUAUGACAAGUUCUGUUUGUACAUUGUCGAUGUAAAAAAAACUAAAAGUUUUUGCAAGAUUUGAAGAACUUCAGUAAAUAAAGACUUUUACAAGUAACCAUA